AGAAAUAUGUCUGAUAAAAGAGUUACUUUGAUAGAGUAAAUAAU
rnacentral:tRNA from 1 species